UCCCUUAUAAUACAUCAGCAGGACAAGCACUAAAAAUGGAAAAACAUGGGAAAGAUCAGCCUGAUCCCUGUGCAAGGGUGACACGCAAAUCCUGGAAUCACCCCAUAUUUUA
ensembl:snRNA U6 U6 spliceosomal RNA